rnacentral:rRNA from 1 species
ACGGGUGAGUAACACGUAGGCAACCUGCCUUUGGGAUCGGGAUAACUACCGGAAACGGUAGCUAAGACCGGAUAGCUGGUUUGGACGCAUGUCCGGAUCAUGAAACACGGAGCAAUCUGUGACCUGAAGAUGGGCCUGCGGCGCAUUAACUAGUUGGUAGGGUAACGGCCUACCAAGGCGACGAUGCGUAGCCGACCUGAGAGGGUGAUCGGCCACACUGGGACUGAGACACGGCCCAGACUCCUACGGGAGGCAGCAGUAGGGAAUCUUCCGCAAUGGACGCAAGUCUGACGGAGCAACGCCGCGUGAGUGAUGAAGGUUUUCGGAUCGUAAAGCUCUGUUGCCAGGGAAGAAAUUUCAGGAGAGUAACUGCUCCUGGAUUGACGGUACCUGAGAAGAAAGCCCCGGCUAACUACGUGCCAGCAGCCGCGGUAAUACGUAGGGGGCAAGCGUUGUCCGGAAUUAUUGGGCGUAAAGCGCGCGCAGGCGGUUAUUUAAGUUUGGUGUUUAAGCCCGGGGCUCAACCCCGGAUCGCAUCGAAAACUGGAUGACUUGAGUGCGGGAGAGGAAAGUGGAAUUCCACGUGUA